rnacentral:lncRNA from 1 species
UUAUCAAAGAGGGAAGCAUAUGAAGACCAGCUCAAGAUUAAGAAGUCCUAUGAUGAAUUCGCAGGACAUUAGGCAGAAAGAGACAAUGCCACAAUAGGGACUAAGAGUUUUCUCUUUGUACAAGAACAACUAGAUGUGCCCAAUUAUGCUGUAGAUUACUUAGUAUUUUCCUUAGCAUCUUUUUCUUUAGAUGAGAAAGCUACAAAAAGUGCAUAUUUGAUGACGAAUCCUCUCGAAAGGGGGGGAUGAUGUGAUAUAACUGAGAAAAAGCCUAAUGACAAACAUGAAGUUCCUGUGACAAAUGAAUGGGGGAAAAGAUUAAGCAUUAAUGUGCUUCCUGCACACACUUGAAAGUGUUCCUGAACAAAAAAUACCCAAGAUGAAUCCACCUAAGUAUAGGCCCAAGGUAGUGAAUCCAAAGUAAAUGGAUUUAGACCUUGGCCCAAUAAGAGGCAAAAUUAAAAAAGACAGG